GACGAACGCUUGCGACGUGCCUAAGAAAUGCAAGUCGAACGGGGUAGCAAUACCUAGUGGCGAACGGUCGCGUAACACGUGGGCAACCUGCCCUGAAGCGGGGGACAACAGCUUGAAAGAGCUGCUAAUACCGCAUGUGUAUCGGAAUGGCAUCAUUCAGGAUACAAAGCCGCAAGGCACUUCAGGAUGGGCCCGCGGCCUAUCAGCUAGUUGGUGAGGUAACGGCUCACCAAGGCUUCGACGGGUAGCUGGUCUGAGAGGACGAUCAGCCGGAUUG
rnacentral:rRNA from 1 species